GCGGACGUGGCGAAACUGGUAGACGCAAAGGACUUAAAAUCCUUCGGGGGGUAACCCCCGUGCGGGUUCGACUCCCGCCGUCCGCACCA
rnacentral:tRNA from 1 species